UGUGUGAGUCAGCUGGCUCUAGUGUAAAGCAUGUGACCUGGGUCUAAGCCAAUCAGCAUCUCAUAAGCCUCCUGCCAUGACUGGUUCAGGGAUAGGCCCUUAGUCCAAUCAGAGACCAUGAAAUGCAAUGAGGCUUUGCCUAGAAAUGCUGAGCUAAAGAUCUUCACUUUCUAUGCAGGUUUUGAAGCCAGGAGCCCCUCUUCUUGAGAUCUAUUGGCAACCAUCUUGUGAAGGAAGAGCCCAUUGUGUAGGAGGCAGAUGCUGGAGAAAAAGAGACAACAGGGCCGGGUUUUAUCAUUUGAGACUUGAGUAAAGUCAUACCGGAAGUCACACCCAGUCUACCCUGGGAAGCUUGGUUACAAGGGCCAGUAAAUUCCCUUUUCUUUUCUUUUCUUUUCUUUUUUUUCUUUUUUUUUUUUAAGAGAUGGGGGUCUUACUCUGUUUCCCAGGUUACUCUCGAACUCCUGGCCUGAAGCCCCCUGUCUCUGCCUCCCAAAGUUCUGGGAUUACAGGCUUGAGCUACUGUGCCUGACUAAAUUCCCUUUUUGAUUAAGCCUGUUUAGAUUAGGUUUCUUGUCAACCUGCAACUGAAAGAAUUAUCGCCAAUACAAGGUACAAAGUCCUGAAAGGUAAGCUCUUUGAAGCACAAGAAAAGCAGGAACCCUCAGUCUUCUUUAUAAAGGAGAUGUCCUCAUGAGAGAGACACGGGCCACUGGCAACUUGAAUUCAUCUGGAAUAUUCAUAAGCUUCUAGAAAUGGCAAAGAAAAUGGUUUAUUUGAUUGGCCAAAGAAGGACUCUCCUGAUGAUGUAAUAAUUUCAUCUCCUUGCUUCCUUGGCUGUAUUGCAGAUUUGACAAAGUAUUAAAAUGGCACAUUGUAAAAAAUCUUUAUAUUACGUAAGCAUAAAGUGUUCUGCAAAAAUCAGAAAGAA
rnacentral:lncRNA from 1 species